CCAACUGAGAAUACAAAUUCUACUGAUGAUGAUAUGAAUGAGGGUAAUAACAAUUCCAGUGAGCAAGAAAAUGUAACUCAUUCACCGAGUGUCGAUAAACAACAGCCAUUCACUGUUGACAUUUUUGAUCCACGAAACUGGGAUAAUCUGGAUGAUAAGGCUAGGGAUAUUUUAGUUGAGAAGGGUCCCGUAAGAAAUGAUGAUAUUGUGUACCCUUCAGAUAUUAAUUCUAGACAUUUUUCACAAUCUUAUUAUUCCAGAAAGUUGAGCAAUGGAGAGGUACAUGACAGGAAAUGGUUGGUUUACUCUGAACAUGCUAACAAAGUGUACUGCCUAACUUUUUAUCUGAUGGUAACACAAAAGAUAUAA
rnacentral:rRNA from 1 species